GGUCCUCGCGCCGGCUCAUGCCCAGCGCCCCGUAGCGACCCCCGAAGUUCACCCCCAGCACGAUGUGGCGGAAGUAGUUCCCUGAGAAGCUUGGGCCCAGCAUACAGUAGGCGCUCAAUGAUUACCGGCUGCUGCCAUGACUGCGAGCAGAGCUCACCAAGUAACAGUGAGCAAGGCACCCUCAACUGCCCGGCCUUCCAGAGUGAUGGGGUGAGAUAUCGUGCCCGCUGCUCUUCCGAUAAAACCAAGGUUGCUGGUGGCCUGGGAGGCAGUCAGCUGUCCACUCCAACCUCCACGGAGGACCGUCUACACCCGCUCUUCUCUCUGGCGGCUCCUUGGGCUCUCCUAGCUCCUUCUCAGGCCUCAGGCUUGGCUGGGACCGCUGACCUCCCUUCCUAAAGCAAAUCUGCUGUCCUUAUGUUCCCCGUGGCACAUCACCACAAUCUGUAUUAUUUUUCUUAUUUCUUGGUUUACUUGCUUACUUUUUGUCCCCCUGGCUAGAAUAUAAACUUUUAAUGGGGACCACCUUGUCUGUCAUUUUUUUUUUUCUACUGUAUCUCUGGGGCCCAGCACAGACAUGGCACAUGACAGGCACUCAAAACUCUUUUUGAACAAAUGGGUAGAAUGAGAUGGACAGGAUAAAAGCUUGGCAUACAGACCAGGUAGACACUGCAUCCAGUGUCCAACGUGCACCUUGUUGUUUAACUGUAUUAACAAACUUGUGGGAUGGGAUUGCCAUUGUUCCCUUCUGCAGAAGAGGACUCCGAGGCCCAGAGAUGCUAAGGAGCUUGCUUGAGGCCACAGUGAGGAUGCAGCAGAGCUAGGAUUCAGGUCCAGGCUGGCCUGACCCUGCAGUCUGUGCACAGUCACUGCGAUGCUGACCAGGCCUGACUCCUUGCAAGCAAAUGACUGGGAACACAGGUGAGCCAGGUGCAGGCUCUGAGUGCGGUGAGGAUGAGACCGGGAACAGACUUAGUACAGUGCGCAUCACGUGUUCAGAAGGGAGCUGUGGCAGUUCUAUGGGGACAGCAGGGAGAUGUCCCGUCCAGAUGGGGAGCUACUCCUAUUUUCUUCCUGCCCACAAGCCAGCAGGUAACCCCUGGAAGGCCUCUGGGACCAUGUGAUCCCGUCUGGACUAGCUUCUCUAUAUGCUCACGGGGAGGGGAGCAGGGUGUCCCUCCUACAAGGGGGUGGGAACCUCCACUUUGGAGUGUGGUCCUGAAGGAGAAGCAAACGUGGGGUGGUGAAGGAGGCGCUGGCAGCGGCCUGGAGUCCCUGGGCUGGCCUCACACUCGUCCCAGCAGAGAACCCUUUGGACAAGGCAAUGCUGGUGGGUCCCUUUGGGCAGCAAAGGACUGCCACAGUGGGAUUAGCCCUCAGGGAGGAGGACUGGGGGGUCACCCCUGCAGUCUCUGUGUACAG